rnacentral:rRNA from 1 species
CGCGUAGGUGGUUUGGUAAGCGAGAUGUGAAAGCCCCGGGCUUAACCUGGGAACGGCAUUUCGAACUGUCAGACUAGAGUGUGGUAGAGGGUAGUGGAAUUUCCUGUGUAGCGGUGAAAUGCGUAGAUAUAGGAAGGAACACCAGUGGCGAAGGCGGCUUACCUGGACCAACACUGACACUGAGGUGCGAAAGCGUGGGGAGCAAACA